rnacentral:rRNA from 1 species
UUUUCACACUGAAACAUCGACAGCUUGAACGCACAUUGCAGCUUCGGGUCACUCCCGGAGCAACGCCUGUCUGAGGGUCGGUU